CUUGAUGUUCACUUUAAGGUGGCUGGACAGCUUGGUGUGUAAACAGAAUAUCAUCAAGCAGUCCAUCCAUCCUUGCAGUUAACAUUCAU